AAUAAAAAUACGGGGAGCAGUAGCUGAGAGUAAGUUCGACUUAGACCCUAAACCAGAUUAGGAUAAUGCCUACGUUGGGAUGCUCUUCAAAGAAGAG
rnacentral:ncRNA from 1 species